GAAUCGCGGUGUAGGCGCGCACUCCUCCCUCUCCGGGAGGCAGCUCAGGGUUCGAGUCCCUGUCGAUUCACC
rnacentral:tRNA from 1 species